rnacentral:rRNA from 1 species
AUACAGGGGGUGCGAGCGUUAAUCGGAAUUACUGGGCGUAAAGAGUACGUAGGCGGUUGCUUAAGUCAGAUGUGAAAGCCCCGGGCUCAACCUGGGAACUGCAUUUGAAACUGAGUGACUAGAGUUUAAGAGAGGGGAGUAGAAUUCCGGGUGUAGCGGUGAAAUGCGUAGAGAUCCGGAGGAAUACCAGUGGCGAAGGCGGCUCCCUGGCUUAAAACUGACGCUGAGGUACGAAAGCGUGGGUAGCGAACAGGAUUAGAAACCCCUGUAGUCC